AUGUGUUCAGCUCUGACAUCCUCAUCCAUGAUCUCUUUUGUCAUCCCAGUCUCUGUGUUGCUACUGUGGUCUGCAGGUCUCUCUGAGGGGAGUGAUGUCACCCAGACCCCCAGCAUCCUCUGGUCAAUCAAGGGGCAGCCUGCUGAGAUGGACUGCAGUCACACCAAGGGUGCUACACACUACCAGAUGUACUGGUACAGACAGCUACCAGGACAGGGGAUGAAGCUGGUUGUGUUCAGUGUGCCCAACAGUAAUCCUGACUAUGGAGAUGUCAGUGAGCACAAAUUCUCAAUCACCAGGACAGGAGCAGAGAGAGGUUCUUUCACAGUGAAGAACUCUUCACCAGACGACAACGGCAUGUACUUCUGUGCUGUGAGUGAACACAGUGAUACAGACAUCAUGUGCAGCUGCACAAAAACCCCCAACUUCUCCUGAAAGGUCCUGAGUGACGUCAUGUGAGAUGACAGUGUGUUCUGCUGACACUCCCUCCAUCCACCUCCUCUGGGCAGAGUCACUGUGACACAGCAGGGGGUGGGUGUAGCUCAGUGGUAAACAGCCUCCUCCCUCUCAGUCAGUAAGCAGACUUCAUGUGAACAGAACUUAAGAAACCGUUACAAAGUGCUUUCCUGUACGUUUAUCAAUCCAACAAACCAACACAGAAUCAAAGCCAGUCCCAGUAAAGACAACAGUGGUCCAGCAGUAACAGGUCAGAACAAGUCCCUGAUUAUCUGAGUGAAGCCUCACUGGUAGAGCUUCAGCAGACA